rnacentral:rRNA from 1 species
GACGAACGCUGGCGGCGUGCUUAACACAUGCAAGUCGAGCGGUAAGGCCCUUUCGGGGGUACACGAGCGGCGAACGGGUGAGUAACACGUGGGUGACCUGCCCUCAGCUCUGGGAUAAGCCUGGGAAACCGGGUCUAAUACCGGAUACGACUCCAUGACGCAUGUUGUGGGGUGGAAAGCCUUGUGCGGCUGAGGAUGGGCCCGCGGCCUAUCAGCUUGUUGGUGGGGUGAUGGCCACCAAGGCGACGACGGGUAGCCGGCCUGAGAGGGCGACCGGCCACACUGGGACUGAGACACGGCCCAGACUCCUACGGGAGGCAGCAGUGGGGAACCUUGCGCAAUGGGCGAAAGCCUGACGCAGCGACG